GUUUCCCAAGUUAACGCGCGAACGACCCCGGCACAGUGCUCUAGGAAAGUAAAGCUCACUUCGUACUUUUCUCUGGCACUGCGAGCAUGGUUGCCUCGCCCUUCUCGCCGCCUGUAA
rnacentral:precursor_RNA from 10 species